rnacentral:misc_RNA from 1 species
AAGGUAGCCGUACCGGAAGGUGCGGCUGGAUCACCUCCUUUCUAAGGAGCACCACGAGAAACACUCCAAUUGGUGGGGUGUGAGCCGUGAGGGGUUCUCGUCUGUAGUGGACGAGGGCCGGGUGCACAACAACAGGCAAUCGCCAGACACACUAUUGGGCCCUGAGACAACACUCGGCCGACUUCGGUUGAAGUGGUGUCCCUCCAUCUUGGUGGUGGGGUGUGGUGUUUGAGUAUUGGAUAGUGGUUGCGAGCAUCUAAAUGA